AAUGAACGCUGGCGGCAGGCCUAACACAUGCAAGUCGAGCGAAGUCUUCGGACUUAGCGGCGGACGGGUGAGUAACGCGUGGGAACAUGCCCUUUGGUGCGGAAUAGCCCCGGGAAACUGGGAGUAAUACCGCAUGUGCCCUUCGGGGGAAAGAUUUAUCGCCAAAGGAUUGGCCCGCGUUGGAUUAGGUAGUUGGUGGGGUAAUGGCCUACCAAGCCGACGAUCCAUAGCUGGUUUGAGAGGAUGAUCAGCCACACUGGGACUGAGACACGGCCCAGACUCCUACGGGAGGCAGCAGUGGGGAAUCUUAGACAAUGGGCGCAAGCCUGAUCUAGCCAUGCCGCGUGAUCGAUGAAGGCCUUAGGGUUGUAAAGAUCUUUCAGGGGGGAAGAUAAUGACGGUACCCACAGAAGAAGCCCCGGCUAACUCCGUG
rnacentral:rRNA from 1 species